AACACCUCUUCUUCAUCAUCUCCAGGGAAAGGAGACUAUAAGGCAAGUAAUGAAAUACUAUUAACAGGCUUAAGCAUUACUUAAAAUUGAAAAGAUGUGUCUAAUUCCAAACUGGCAGCGGACUAUGCCCUGAAAUGAAGUCUUCCUGUUCCCAGAAACCAAAUAUGGUAGUUUUUCUUGAGGAAGAGAGAAAAGGCAAGUUAGUGUUGUCCCUUAACUCCUACUGCAGGAUUCAGCUUUACAAAUACGUUUUUAGAAGUAGAAACACCUAAACCAGGGAUCAUCUUUAAACUAUUGACACAAGAUACACAGGGAAUGUGGGAAGUACGGAUCAGCUUUUCUUCAGGACAGCUGCUAUCCACAAGUAACACAGUCCAGACUAAUUUGCUUUUGUCAUAUCUUCAGCAUGUGACAGCUCCAGGGUUUUCAAACUGUUCUGAAGUGGCCUGACAGAUGUAGGUGACACCCUAGAACCUUUUUAUCUUUUAGCACAGAGGCCAUCUAUGUACUACCUGGAGAUACUUGAACAGAAUGGUCUGGAAGGUAAAGCAGCAUACACAAGGUAAAUAAUUACUCAGUAGUAAUUUAUUUAUACUAGCUCAUUUACAUGGAACUGGGGCAUUCUGUUUUAGUGCAGGUGUAAUUCAGAUGGUAAACAGCAUUGUCUUGGACCAGCUACAACUCAUUCACUUCUACAACUACUGAUAAUUCAAGCUCAUGGCAUGAUCAUCAACUUCUGCAGCAUUACAGCAGCUAGUAUCAGGCUCUCGGGUGUUGGUGUAUUUUAUAUCUGAAUGGGGAACAUCAGACCCACAGAUUAUUUCAGGCUGGAGUUUUGGGACAAUACUAUUUCUGCCAUUUUCAAAAUCAAAAGUUGUUACUUCAUCCUGUGAAGAAAAACAAGGCUGAAGAUUUAAAACUGAUUGUGAAGGCAAAUGAAUGCAGAAAUUUUACUGAAGGCCUGUGAAAGUCUUAACACAAGAUUUAUCUAAGCUAAAACAGUAGAGUUCAAGAUGAUACAGAGAAACAAGGUUUGAGUGAUGAAACCUAUUGCUACAGUCAUUCAGCUUUUUGUUAAUAAAGCCAUUUAUUCUCUGAA